AUGACAGAGAUGCUGUAUACUCCACCUGGAUCCAUGCUGUUUACCACUUUGAUAAAACAUUCUGGAUCUGGUUGCUUCCUCUCUGCUUCCUGCAGUUGUUGUAACCUGGAGGUCAAUUUUCACAGGACAAACAGAACUGAGCAGGAAACAUGCUACUGUCUUGUUCCAAAAGUCAACAGAAGAUACUCUGUUAGUAUAUUAAUUAGCUUUCUGUUCUCUGUGACAAGAUGUCUGAUGAAACAACCAAAGGAAGGAGAAAUUUAUUCUGCCUCACUGUUUGAGAGUGUCAGUUUUCUGGCAGGAAGGGUAUGGCAUGGCAGAGUGGGCCCACACAUCCAACAAGGAAGAAAGGAAACAACGGGAAUGGGCAUGAACUUGAGGAUAAGUCCAUUCUCUAGGGCUCUUCUCACCUCACUUUUGCUUUACGAGGCCCCUCAGUCUACAGGAUGGUGUGGUGCCGACCACAUCCAGCAAAGGUCUUCCCACCUACAGAAUUGUCUCUGGAUGUGACCUUACAGACACACACGUGAGUAAACUAUACUAGUCUCCUAGUUUUGAACUUUUCAGUAUAAUCAAGUUGGCAAGUUUAGCCAUCAGGGACUGUGGAGAUGGCUUGGUGGGUAAAGUGCUUGUCCCAAAGAGUAAGCAACAGAAUUCAGAUCCUCAAAACCAAUGUAAAAACCAGGUGGGUGUGGCAGCCAGCCUGCAAUGCCAGCAAGCUGGAGGGCGGUAGGAGCAUGCUGGCUAGCUAGAUUAGCCAACACAGCAAGCUCAGGGGUCAAGAAGAGGCCCUCCCUCAGAACAUAAGUGAACAGUCAAGGAAUACACUUCACAUCAACCUCAGGCCUCCACACGCAUGUGUGCAUGCACCCACACACCUACAUAAUGCACACAUACCACACAUACACACACCUAACAAAGAAAGAGAAAAGGUUAGUCACCACCAGUCAACUCGAAAUUAGGUCAACAGUGUGGAUUAUGGUGAUAAAACUCCUCAAUACUAUUCCACAAGAGACACCAAAGCUGCUGCAGAAUAUACUAUUCCUAUAGAAAAUUUAUGAAGAGUCAAGUCAUACUUGCUUCUCUUCUGGGUAGGGUGGAAGGGGGGGGCGUGGCUGGACUGACGGCCAUGGCUGGUUCCAUUAAGCUGUGUGGAUCUGAUACAUUCCUGGGCCACAGGAGGGACAGAUCUGACAGGCGGUAGGAGUGUGUGGAUCUAGUGUCGUGCCUGAGAUUCACUGACACAUUUUUCCUUCUUGCCUUCUUUUCUCUAGACUCCAUGCAUAAUAUUUUUAAAAGUAUUUUUAAAAAUGUAAAUCCUUGUUUUGGGUUCUGUGAUUAUGAAAAUGAAUUUAAAAAAUCAGUUCUUGCUUCUAGCUACUUCACAGGCAGUGACAGUCAGACUGAGAUGUAAUUACAAAAUGCCAUUAUUAUGAGGGCUCUUUGAAAUAAAUGCGUCUCGGAUGUCUUGGCCUCUUCUUAU
rnacentral:lncRNA from 1 species